rfam:Eutrema salsugineum unplaced genomic scaffold scaffold_10, whole genome shotgun sequence.
GGGUGCGAUCAUACCAGCACUAAUGCUCCGAAUCCCAUCAGAACUCCACAGUAAAGCGUGCUUGGGCGAGAGUUGUACUAAGAUGGGUGACCUCCUUAGAAGUCCUCGUCUUGCACCAC